AGUGAACGCUGGCGGUAGGCCUAACACAUGCAAGUCGAACGGCAGCACAGUAAGAGCUUGCUCUUACGGGUGGCGAGUGGCGGACGGGUGAGGAAUACAUCGGAAUCUACUUUUUCGUGGGGGAUAACGUAGGGAAACUUACGCUAAUACCGCAUACGACCUACGGGUGAAAGCAGGGGAUCUUCGGACCUUGCGCGAUUGGAUGAGCCGAUGUCGGAUUAGCUAGUUGGCGGGGUAAAGGCCCACCAAGGCGACGAUCCGUAGCUGGUCUGAGAGGAUGAUCAGCCACACUGGAACUGAGACACGGUCCAGACUCCUACGGGAGGCAGCAGUGGGGAAUAUUGGACAAUGGGCGCAAGCCUGAUCCAGCCAUACCGCGUGGGUGAAGAAGGCCUUCGGGUUGUAAAGCCCUUUUGUUGGGAAAGAAAAGCAGCAGGUUAAUACCCCGCUGUUCUGACGGUACCCAAAGAAUAAGCACUGGCUAACUUCGU
rnacentral:rRNA from 1 species